AUAGUAACUCCAUCUCUCCUUCAACAUAAUUUAAAAGAUUAAAGAUUUGAUUGUUGCAGGUUUCCACAUCAAGCGCCAGCGUCGUGCCCACCCCAGCGCCAGCGUCACUUGGUCUUCGUCGUACCCGCCUACCCUAGUGCCAGCAUCAGCCUAGUGCCAGCACCGCCCCAGAUCAAGCCCCUGCGCUGCCCCAGCGCCGCCCUAUCCCCAGCGCCGCCUAAGCACUAACGUCGUCCUAUGAAUCAGUCCAGUGCCACCCUAGCGCCGUCCUCAGUCGAGCACCCUCCUCCGAAUCAAGACUUGAACUCAGUUUUCUCUAUCUUCACGCUUUUCAUCGACCAAAAUCAGGGGAAGAGUGUGAAGAGUACUUCCAGGUUGCGGAGUGGGAGAGAUGAAAUCGUUCAAGUCAAACAAGCAACCCCUUCACUUUUAGACAUUGAGAUAAUUGAGAAAAUUUAGGGGAAGCAAUCUCAUGACCACAUUACUAUAUUUUGUGGCGGGACAACUUUGAAAGAUCUAAGAGGACCGCUCCCUAGUCGAUCUGAUCUGGAAGCACUGGUUAUAGAAGAAAAGAAAAAGAAUCAGACGCUUCAAUAACGCUUAAAUGAGUAGGGGCAACAACAACAUCAACAACAACAAAGGAUGUCAGACUUAUAGAGUCACAAGUUAAAGCAAUGCAUGAACUUUUUUUAAGGCAACAUUAAUUUAAUACUUCAUUGACUCCUCAAACUCGAGAACAUGUGCAGAAUUAGGAAAUCCACCUGAUGUGGCACAAAUGUUUCAUUAAACUCGAAAGAAAGCUAAUGAAACACUAGAUAUUGGGGAUCAAGAUAAAUAUGAUGAAACUGUUCAAGUCAAACAAGCAAACCCUUCACUUUCUGACAUUGAGAUAGUUGAGAAAAUCUGGGGGAAGCAAUCUCAUGGUCACAUCACUGUAUUUGGUGGCGGGACUACUUUAAAAAAUUUGAGAGGACUGCUCCCUAGUCGAUCUGAUCUGGAAGCACAUGUUAUAGAAGAAAAGAGAAAGAACCAGAUGCUUUAACAACGCUUAGAUGAGCAGGAGCAACAACAACAAAGGAUGUCUGAGUUGGACUCACAAGUGAAAGCUAUGCAAGAACAUUUUUUUAGGCAAUCACCUUCAUUGACUCCUCAAACUCGAGAACGUGUGCAGGACUAGGCUAUCCAUGCAAGAUUAGGAGGGGG